GAUGAACGCUGGCGGCGUGCCUAAUACAUGCAAGUCGAACGAAACUUCUUUAUCACCGAGUGCUUGCACUCACCGAUAAAGAGUUGAGUGGCGAACGGGUGAGUAACACGUGUGCAACCUGCCCAAAAGAGGGGGAUAACACUUGGAAACAGGUGCUAAUACCGCAUAACCAUAGUUACCGCAUGGUAACUAUGUAAAAGGUGGCUAUACUACCGCUUUUUGAUGGGCCCGCGGCGCAUUAGCUAGUUGGUAGGGUAAAGGCUUACCAAGGCAAUGAUGCGUAGCCGAAUUGAGAGGUUGAUCGGCCACAUUGGGACUGAGACACGGCCCAAACUCCUACGGGAGGCAGCAGUAGGGAAUCUUCCACAAUGGGCGAAAGCCUGAUGGAGCAACGCCGCGUGGGUGAAGAAGGUCUUCGGAUCGUAAAACCCUGUUGUUAGAGAAGAAAGUGCGUGAGAGUAACUGUUCACGUUUCGACGGUAUCUAACCAGAAAGCCACGGCUAACUACGUG
rnacentral:rRNA from 1 species